GAUGAAGAAAGUAGCGAAAUGCGAUAAGUAGUGUGAAUUGCAGAAUUCAGUGAAUCAUCGAAUCUUUGAACGCACAUUGCGCCCCUUGGUAUUCCAUGGGGCAUGCCUGUUCGAGCGUCAUUUGUACCUUCAAGCUUUGCUUGGUGUUGGGUGUUUGUCCUGAGGGACUCGCCUUAAAGUAAUUGGCAGCCAGUGUUUGGUUUUGAAGCGCAGCACAAGUCGCGAUUCAAGGCUAUACACCAGCUUCCACAAGCCUUUUUCACUUUUGACCUCGGAUCAGGUAGGGAUACCCGCUGAACUUAAGCAUAUCAAUAAGCGGAGGA
rnacentral:misc_RNA from 1 species